rnacentral:lncRNA from 1 species
ACGCCCCUCACGUUCCCGGCCUGGCCACGCCCACUUCCGCUGCCGACCCUCGCUGGUGCUGCAGUGCGGUGCCCAACUCCUGGCGCGGCCCGGCUUCACACUUCUUCCAUGACCCGGCUCCCUCGGGUUGCGUUUGAGGACAUUCUGCUGAAUUGAAGGAGGGUGGAGCAGCAGAGGGCGGUACAGGCCCAUGGACACCACUUUGAACUCUACUCCAACUGCCUCAUCUUCCCUUUGACCUGGACAUGGAGUCUCUGAGUCAAGGCCACUCAGGUUCCAAUGAUGCUCUUACUCUGUGCCAGAAACUAUGGUGGACUAACAAACUAUGCUCAGCUGCAAUUGUAAUUUGGAGAGGAUUUCAUUCAAUGAUCAAAAGAACCACGCAUGCAUCCAUACCUUUGCCUGGAUCUCUCCCACUGUUAUAAUGAGCGCUCUGCACUACUUCCGUGUGAUGACAGAGCCUGCAUUUUGUGUUCACUACAACGUAACGCCAUUUAUUAAUAUACAGAAGAUUUACCCACAGAAAUGUGAUGCAGACCAUAUAUAUGCACAAAGAAGCAAGGGCAACGAUGAAAGAAGUGAAAAGAUGAAAAGGUGAAGAAGGAGAAAACAAAAAGAUGCUGUGCUCAUCACCCCAGAACGUACCACCAUGGACAAACAAGAUGGAUUUGCUGCAAGCAGCUGCUGAAAGCCAUAGAAAAGGUGCAUCUGAGUGACUCCCCUCACCUGCUAAAGCCCUGGGACCUGCAAAGAUCACCAGACCUGGUGUGGCUGCUGUUUUCAAACAGAGAAGGGGGAGAUGUAGGGGGCUGUAAUAUUGAUUAUGCCCAAAACAGGCUAUGAAGAGUUAGCUCCAUGAUGGACUUAUUUACAGAAAUGAGUCCGGCCAAAGCCUAAGGUGCUGAGGUCAGAAUAACUCGCACCCAAAUUCCGUUCCCACAACUGAAACCUUCAGACUAGGACAAUGUUCUAAUUACAAUCAUAUAUUUUGUCUAUUUAGUUCCUAAUUUGAGAAUGUUUUGUCUUGUCUUUUAUGAGCUUUGUUUACAUUAAUUUCCAUAGAAACCCAUGCUGCCUUUACCCCAGCUGAUUGCCAAUAAAAGUCAGUGCCUGGGACUGUCC